GAAAGUUAUAAUUUUAGAACUUCUAAUUCUACUAAUAGCAUUUAUAUUAUGUUAAACUUUUA
rnacentral:tRNA from 1 species